rnacentral:rRNA from 1 species
UACAGAGGGGGCAAGCGUUGUUCGGAAUUACUGGGCGUAAAGGGCGCGUAGGCGGCCUGCUAAGUCGAACGUGAAAUCCCCGGGCUCAACCCGGGAACUGCGUCCGAUACUGGUGGGCUUGAAUCCGGGAGAGGGAUGUGGAAUUCCAGGUGUAGCGGUGAAAUGCGUAGAUAUCUGGAGGAACACCGGUGGCGAAGGCGGCAUCCUGGACCGGUAUUGACGCUGAGGCGCGAAAGCCAGGGGAGCAAACGGG